AAUAAUGCUCUUUUAAGAGCCACAUAUGUUUUAUUAUUAAGAUUAU
rfam:Astyanax mexicanus Tnplaced_Scaffold3431, whole genome shotgun sequence.